rnacentral:lncRNA from 1 species
AUAACGCAGCCUUUAGCUUACUUCAAACAUUCAACAAACCGAGAAAAUAAAAUAUAAGAGGCCUAGAACUGACCUAAUUGCAGAUAAAGAAAUGAUGAGUUAGAGGUGAAUUCACCAAAUGGACUAACCAAAUAAGCUUAGAAGCAGGAAAUAAAGCUCAGACAAGAAUUUCCAACAACAAUCGGCAGCGAAAAAUCAGCAAACUCCAAACACCGAAAUUGGAUAAAACGGCAACAAAAGCAGAAGGAAGAACAACAAAAUAUAAUCAACUUCUUCAACUCAG